AUGACGGCGUCGACACCGCGGAUCACAACGGAGUCCAUCAAACAUACAGUCUAUCAGCCUUUCUGCAAGGUACACAACAUGCUCGCUACAGAGGAAAGAGAUGAUGCACAUUACUCCUUUCUGCAAGUAAAAAAAGGAUAUGUUCUCAUAACAAGGAUGGAAAGUAUAACAGCUUACAAAAACCAAUAUGGACAACACAGAUCUGGAACUCAAGAACAACCUGGUACUAGCUGCUAA
rnacentral:rRNA from 1 species